rnacentral:sRNA from 1 species
AUGGAGUUAAAGCCCUCUCCCGCCGGGAAAGGGGUUGGGGUGAGGGUACGGGGCGAAGCCAGACGUGCACUCAAACUUCACCAGGCUUCGCACGUCCCCUCAUUCGCCCCUGGGGCACCUUCUCCCGAUGGGAGAAGGGAAGCGCCUGGCCUGUGUCUGGCACAA